GGUCGAGUGGCGCGCGAGCCCCUGGAACCGCUCCAGCUCCAGCUCCUACCCAGGCCCGCCGCCUUCCAGUAGGUCCCGGGACACGAUGAAGCCUUCCAUGCCAGGGGCGGCCGUGGCUACUGGGCCAGACAAUUAGGCAUUUUCAGAAAGCCAAAGGCUAUGGAUUUGUUCCAGAUUUAGAUACAUCAGGUUUGACCAGCCAAGACCCCCUGAAAGGUCUCCGAUGACACCAUGGCCCAGACGAUCCAACAUCCAGAAUGGUUUGAAGGCAACUGGCUCAGACAAUACAGCCUCAUGGACUAUUCCAUAAUCCUAAAAUUUUCUUUGUGUCCCCAUGAGAUACAGCGCCCCCCUCCAGCAGGAAGUAGUAAGAGAAGCUACACCCAAAUUCCCAAAUUAUGUGUAAUUUUACUUUGUUAA